GCUAGACCAGCGUCCUCUUCCAGAUGAUCUGAAUUUGAAACUUCUUUAUGACUAAACAGCUGUGUGAUGCAUUGGAAAAAUCCAGAGUAUUUCACACCUUCUAGCCUGAGAAUUCAUGGAGACCAUCUGCUCCACUCUGAUCUGCGAGGAUCCUCCCAGAGCUCUGCACUCUGUGCUCCCACAUCCCACACGGCUUUCAGGCCCCACUGCUUUUAUCUGGGGGCAGGCAAAGAGGAUGACUGUCUUCCUCCUGGUGGUGAGGACACUAACCAAAAUGAGUCCUGUCAUUUGAACAAGCUGUGUACUGAGCCACGUGGGGAUGCCACAGUUUGGCUCAGAAACUGGAGGGAGAAAACAUCUGGUGUCCAUCUUCCACCAGUCAAAGAUGUGAUACAGGCAAAAUCAGGUUGCCUCUUUUCUGAAAGAAUAAAGAAAUGUAAAUGUGUCGUUCUGAUGCCACCGUCUCCAUUUGCUGAGUAUCUACCGGAAGAAGAGUUCCUUUUCAAGUCAGACAAGAGCAUUGCCAGGUUUUGUUUGCAAGAAGGUUCCUGCUCUGCUGCAUAGAAGAGGCGGGGGACUGUUGUGUCUCCUUGGCCUUUCCCUUCUCAUCCCCCUCUCACCUCCCCUGCUUGGGCCCCUGUCACCACACACCUGGACAUCAUCACAGAGCCUCUCAGCCACAAGGUUCCUGAGGCAACACUACAUAACUGCAGAAAGCUCAGGUUCGAAUGUGAUGUCAAAAUGUCCAAACAUUUGUCAUCAAAAUUGUCAGCGUGUUGCAACAGACAGGCUCAACCCCUCGUCAAACUGUUCCUCCCUCCAGGUUGACUCAAGGUAGAAUUUAUCUCACUUUUUCAAACAGGAAAUCUUUUCUUCUCUCUUGAAAUGGUAGGCUUGUUACAUUUGCUAGAUAGUCCAUCAAAACAUUAAGCUUUUUCUGAAAAAUGACAGGCUUGGGGCUCUGUCCAAUGUUAACUUUGCAAUAUUGACCACUGAUUGAUGGGUUUUGGCCUUGUGGGGAAAUUGACCUUUCCUUGAGCUUUAAUUACAUUGAUCAGAAUCAGUGACGUGCUGGAAAUGGUUUAUACUGGCUCAUGAGAGCUGAUCCUUAAAAUUUCAAGAUUUUGGUAAACUGUUAAAAUAUCCUUUACUAAAGAUUAAAUUAUACGAGUUUACAAAUAAAUUAUCUUAAAACAGAUGUAGCAAAUACUCAAACUAUGUCACUUUCUAUUUUACUAAUACCUUACUUAUAUUUCAUACUUAUUUCUUGAGAUUAUUUAGGUCUCUUGUAUCUGUAUUAUGGAAAUAUAAAGUGAUGUACUGUGUUUCUCUUCCCAACGCCACAUAUAGUAACAUCACAUUGGUGGCUUGAAAUUAGCUAUGGAGGGAGUAUUGGCCUCAUAAUAAUUGGCAAAUAGGAAACACUACAAAUCCAGACUUUAUUUCAAAGAGCCAUUUUGUAUGCAUUUACCAGCACACCACGGGCCAGAACUACCUGCCGACAAAGCAACAUGAGCACAUGGCGAUCACUGAGUCAAGAGUGACCAGAAUGACCUGAAAGGACAAGUAUUAACUAGUGCAAAACAAGGGUGCAUUGGGGCCUCCUCCCUUCUUUUAAUAUAGAUCUUAGUUGAUACCACUUUGAGACAAUGUUGACACACCCCUACCAUAAUUAGCAGCCAGGG
rnacentral:lncRNA from 1 species